rnacentral:rRNA from 1 species
ACGUAGGGUGCAAGCGUUAAUCGGAAUUACUGGGCGUAAAGCGUGCGCAGGCGGUUUUGUAAGUCUGAUGUGAAAUACCCGGGCUCAACCUGGGAAUUGCAUUUGAAACUGCAAAGCUAGAAUCCAGAAGAGGGGGACGGAAUUCCCCGUGUAGAGGUGAAAUGCGUAGAUAUGGGGAGGAACACCAAUGGCGAAGGCGGUCUCCUGGUUUAAUAUUGACGCUGAUGCGCGAAAGCGUGGGGAGCAAACAG